AUGUCCAUCUCCAACAUGACAGUCUUCAUGCCUUCUGUGUUGACACUAAUAGGGAUCCCAGGCCUAGAGUCUGUGCAGUGCUGGAUCGGGAUUCCAUUCUGUGCCAUGUAUCUCACUGCUAUGAUUGGAAAUUCCCUGCUUCUGAUCAUCAUUGUUUCAGAGCGCAGCCUCCAUGAGCCCAUGUACAUGUUCCUAGGCAUGCUAGGAGUCACAGAUAUUGCACUUGCUACCACCAUUAUGCCCAAGAUGCUUGGCAUCUUCUGGUUUCAUGUACCAGAGAUUUAUUUUGAUUCUUGCUUGCUUCAAAUGUGGCUUAUCCAUACAUUUCAGUGCAUAGAGUCAGGCAUCCUCGUGGCCAUGGCCCUGGACCGUUAUGUGGCCAUCCGUUAUCCACUAAGACAUGGUGCUAUCUUCACCCACCAUCUGGUCACCCAAAUAGGGGCUAUGGUUACAGUCAGGGCAGCCAUUCUAGUAGCCCCGUGCCUAGUACUAAUAAAGUGCCGGUUGCAAUUUUACCAUACAACCAUCAUCUCCCACUGCUACUGUGAGCAUAUGGCCAUCCUGAAGCUGGCUGNGGAUCAACAAAAUCUAUGGCUUGUUUGUGGCAUUUGCUGUUGCAGUAUGCGAUAUUACCUUUAUCACUUUGUCCUACAUACAGAUAUUUAUCACAGUUUUCCGUUUGCCCCAGAAGGAGGCUCGGUGG